UGCCUACGGGACGCAGCAGUGAGGAAUAUUGGUCAAUGGGCGGUAGCCUGAACCAGCCAAGUAGCGUGAAGGAUGAAGGUUCUAUGGAUUGUAAACUUCUUUUAUAAAGGAAUAAAGUGAGGCACGUGUGCCUUUUUGUAUGUACUUUAUGAAUAAGGAUCGGCUAACUCCGUGCCAGCAGCCGCGGUAAUACGGAGGAUCCGAGCGUUAUCCGGAUUUAUUGGGUUUAAAGGUAGCGUAGAUGGUUUGUUAAGUCAGUUUUGAAAGUUUGCGGCGCAACCGUAAAAUUUCAAUUGUUACUGGCG
rnacentral:rRNA from 1 species